UACGGAGGGUGCGAGCGUUGUCCGGAAUCAUUGGGCGUAAAGCGCGCGCAGGCGGUCCUUUUAAGUCUGAUGUGAAAGCCCACGGCUCAACCGUGGAGGGUCAUUGGAAACUGGGGGACUUGAGUGCAGAAGAGGAAAGCGGAAUUCCACGUGUAGCGGUGAAAAUGCGUAGAGAUGUGGAGGAACACCAGUGGCGAAGGCGGCUUUCUGGUCUGUAACUGACGUGAGGCGCGAAAAGCGUGGGGGAGCAAAACAGGG
rnacentral:rRNA from 1 species